rnacentral:lncRNA from 1 species
CAGAUUCCAACAUCCUAUUUUCUUAAAUUUAUUAGUCUAGAGGGUGAUCUGGGAAAUCAAUUCCUAAUUUGCCCAAGUUGGUAAUUCUGUUUUAUGAUUUCAUUUUUUCCCCUCAAGGGAGUGAAGAGAUAAAUUUCUGUCAUGCCUGAGUUGUUAAACCUUCCUUCCUACCACAGCGAGCCGCCCCAUGUCCUGUCUAGGUUUUGAAAAGUGCUAUUUUUCAAGCAUGAAUAGACUAGAUUGGAGAAAGCAGGCUGAGAGGCUGUUCACUCAAACUUAGACCCCAUCUAAAGUGUCAGUGCAGACUCUCAACUUUGAACAGUGAGCCCAUUAGCAACAAUGUCUCAAGAACCUUAAAUCUGAGACCUACUUGCCUCCAAACUUGUGGAAAUACAGAAAGAAGAUGUCGCGCCUGCAGAAAGUGGGAGAAGAUAUGUCCACACGUGUGCCAUGUCCUUUUGUGCACACGUGUCGGCACACUGGUCUCCAGGGUUGAACUCCAGCCACGCUCUGUUUGAGGAACUGAGAAUUGUGAGAAUCGCCAAGUCACAAAGUUAAGGAAAGGAUGUAAUUUGACAUUUUGCAUAAAAUCUGAAGUGUAGUAACUGAUCGACCUAGAAACACCGCCUGAGUGACAGCCGCGCCCCAUCCUGGCUCCUGCAAUGAGCCAGGCAGGAGGCACACCAGGUCUGGACGUGCUGUAGAGAUAGGACCAGCAGGAUUUCCUAUGGGGUUGACUGGAGUGUGAGGCAGAUGGAGGGAUAAGGUGAGUCCAGUGCACUGGGCCUGAGCAGCUGGGAGUCGGAGUCACCAUGAACCUGGGGGUGGAGCAGCAGGUGGCCGGCGUGUGUGUGUGUGUGUGUGACUGGGACUGUGGUCUGAGACAGGCUGGUGUCCAGUGACCACCAGAUACUCAAGAAGAGAUGGAGGAGGCCACGGGUACCUGAGUCCAGGGUCUAGGGAAGACCCUGGACAGUGCUGCAAGCAGGGCUGCUGUGUGGGCCCUGAGGGCUGAGAGCAAAGCAAGUGUAGAGGAGAGCAAGGCUGAGCUAGGACAGCCCAUAGUGGCAGGCGGAGCGCGUGGUGCGAGGAAGAGCAGCGCGUGAGCACAGGACCAGGAGGAGGAG